rnacentral:rRNA from 1 species
GACGAACGCUGGCGGCGUGCUUAACACAUGCAAGUCGAACGGAAAGGCCUGUCCUUCCUUGUGUUGGACGGGUACUCGAGUGGCGAACGGGUGAGUAACACGUGAGUGAUCUGCCCCCAACUUGGGUAUAAGCCUGGGAAACUGGGUCUAAUUCCCGAUAGGACUGCAGGGUGGUGCCUGUGGUGGAAAACGUUUUUCUAGUGGUUGGUGAUGAGCUCGCGGCCUAUCAGCUUGUUGGUGGGGUAAUGGCCUACCAAGGCGGCGACGGGUAGCCGGCCUGAGAGGGUGGACGGCCACAUUGGGACUGGGAUACGGCCCAGACUCCUACGGGAGGCAGGAGUGGGGAAUAUUGCACAAUGGGCGGAAGCCUGAUGCAGCGACGCCGCGUGGGGGAUGACGGCCUUCGGGUUGUAAGCUCCUUUCGACCGCGAGGAAGCCGCCUGGUUGGAAGGGUGGUGACGGUAGUGGUAGAAGAAGCACCGGCUAACUACGUG